rnacentral:rRNA from 1 species
UACGAAGGGGGCUAGCGUUGCUCGGAAUCACUGGGCGUAAAGCGCACGUAGGCGGAUCUUUAAGUCAGGGGUGAAAUCCCAAGGCUCAACCUUGGAACUGCCUUUGAUACUGGGGAUCUCGAGUCCGGAAGAGGUUGGUGGAACUGCGAGUGUAGAGGUGAAAUCCGUAGAUAUUCGCAAGAACACCAGUGGCGAAGGCGGCCAACUGGUCCGGUACUGACGCUGAGGUGCGAAAGCGUGGGGAGCAAACAGG